rnacentral:rRNA from 1 species
AUUGAACGCUGGCGGCAUGCUUUACACAUGCAAGUCGAACGGUAACAGGCCGCAAGGUGCUGACGAGUGGCGAACGGGUGAGUAAUGCAUCGGAACGUGCCCAGUCGUGGGGGAUAACGCAGCGAAAGCUGUGCUAAUACCGCAUACGAUCUGUGGAUGAAAGCGGGGGACCGUAAGGCCUCGCGCGAUUGGAGCGGCCGAUGUCCGAUUAGGUAGUUGGUGGGGUAAAGGCUCACCAAGACGACGAUCUCUAGCUGGUCUGAGAGGACGACCAACCACACUGGGACUGAGACACGGCCCAGCAGCCUACGGGAGUCAGCAGUGGGGAAUUUUGGACAAUGGGCGCAAGCCUGAUCCAGCAAUGCCGCGUGCAGGAAGAAGGCCUUCGGGUUGUAAACUGCUUUUGUACGGAGCGAAAAGGCUCUCUCUAAUACAGGGGGCUCAUGACGGUACCGUAAGAAUAAGCACCGGCUAACUACGUGCCAGCCGCCGCGGUAACAC